UCCAAGUACCUUAAUGUCCUCGACCUCCAUCCACUUGGAGAGGGGGCGGUGCUAGUUGACGCCUAGGCCGCCGCCGCAGAUGAACGUGGAGGGUACGCCACCGGGGAUGGGAAGGAUGGGGUCGAGCAUCCAUGAGGUGAGGGGAGGGGCUCCGCGUCCGCUUUGGAAAGGAUCUCUAGAUUGACCGGUGAGGCGAGUGGAGAGGCAGCGCUGAUGGAUGGAGAGGGGAUGGGAAUA
rnacentral:lncRNA from 1 species